UUCACGUUGGCGAGAUACGUGCGUUUUUUUUCAGCGAGUUCGCCAUGUGCGCGGUUUUUUAUGGUGUCGCGAUUUUAUUGAUUGUAGGAUUGGUUCUGUACGCGAUUUCGGUCGCGUACGAUCUGGUCUAAUGACGGACGCGCGCGCACACAUGUACGCGAUUACGAAGCGAUCACGAUACGAGGCUCCAGUUCUCUAAAAGCGGUUAUCUACUCACUCCUUUGAACGUGCCGGUUCUCGGAGUUUGCGGAUCCUCCAUCCUCGAUCGGGAUUGGCGUUGUGGACAGAGCUCCUCCCGCGCUCGGUGAUACCACGCCGUCAUCGUCGUCUGUAAAAUAAUGAUGUCUCGAGCGCUGAAAACACGACGAAACGUCGAGCGUCAGAGGAUUUCACGAGAGCACUGUCGGAAAAUCGUUUCCACAUCCGAGAACGGAAUCGCGGCGCAUUCCCGGGGAAGUUAAUGGCCCGUGAGGUACUUCAUGUGAAGCUUCUCCGCACGUUUUCGGGAGCGUCCGCGUUACCCGUCGCCGACAAUCCGGAUCGCUUCAGGUUCCCGGAAGUUGACCGUACGCACCGAGGAAACGAGGGGCGGUUACGCGGAUUCGUCGGUUUUCCGGAACGGAGUCACGGUUGGAAUUAUGCGGAUCGAUCCUUCGCCCCGACCCCUUGCGAGCGCCCGGGCGCUUCUUGGUCUCUCGCUCAAAAUGAACACGGUGCGAUGUCAAUGUAUACACACAGAUGAAGAGCCGCGGAUUACAGCUGCUAUCGGUUGGCGUGAGUCGCGCGCGAAAUCCGCUACUUGGAACGAAGCCAGCGAAGAUCCGCUCUGGAGGAGGGCGCUCAUCUAACGGUCAUCAGCUCGUAGACAAGGGUUUAUACGAGAAAAAUAACGUUCACGACGAAAGAAUACGGCGAAGAUGCGCCGAGGGAUUCGCGCGUUCUAUAAUAGAACGAUAAGUUUUUUUUUUCGCGAUUUGAAAUUGCGAGAUAAAUUUUUACAGAAGGAACGUAAUUUUACUCACAUUAAUUUUUAGUGUGCAAUAGAUCUCGCUUUAUUUGAUAACAUUUAGGAUAUGUUUAAGAGCGUUAUUUUUUUAGAAGAUUGUGUGUAAAGUGUACUUUGCAAAAAAUGUCAAUUUUAUUUAUUUAUUUAUUUAUUUAUUAGAAGCAGUAUUACAUGAAGAAUAUAUAAGUUUUCGAUUAUGACGGCGGAAGCGCAAGAAAAUUGAUUAAACGUGAUUGCAGUAAUUAUGUUCAACUUAAGACGGGAAAUGGGGACGCAAGAAAAGCCUUGUUAAUCGUUCAAUUACUGAAUUACCUUCUGUCUUAAGAAUCGCUCAUUUUCUCGGUCUUUCUGCGCCGAGAGAGAGACGUGCGGUUUAAUUAAAAUUAUUUCAAAGUAAUUUUUCUCUCGAUAUGUAA